rnacentral:rRNA from 1 species
CCAAUAGCGUAUAUUAAAGUUGUUGCAGUUAAAAAGCUCGUAGUUGAAUUUCGGGAUCAAUAUGUCGGUCGUGCCUUCGGUACGUACUGGCAUCAUUGAUUUCUCCCUUCUGACGAACCAUGAUGUCAUUAAUUUGGUGUCAUGGGGAGUCAGGACUGUUACUUUGAAAAAAUUAGAGUGAUUAAGGCAGGCUCACGCUUGAAUACAUUAGCAUGGAAUAAUGAAAUAGGACGUUUGACCCUAUUUUGUUGGUUUCUAGGAUCAACGUAAUGAUUAAUAGGGAUAGUUGGGGGCAUUAGUAUUCAAUUGUCAGAGGUGAAAUUCUUGGAUUUAUUGAAGACUAACUACUGCGAAAGCAUUUGCCAAGGAUGUGUUCAUUAAUCAAGAACGAAAGUUAGGGGAUCGAAGACGAUCAGAUACCGUCGUAGUCUUAACCAUAAACUAUGCCGACUAGGGAUCGGAUGAUGUUAAUUUUUUAAUGACUCAUUCGGCGCCUUACG